rnacentral:lncRNA from 1 species
AAGAAAAAGAAAAUGGGUUAUAUCACUCAGCCUUAUCAACUUUUUAUUUGCCUCCAGUUAUUGCUCUUCUAUUCUCAGUGUUCAGCAAUACUUUGCUCUCACGACCAAAGUUCUGCUUUACUCCAAUUUAAGCAGCUCUUUUCCUUUCAAAACCAUUCCUCAUUUGCUUGUGAAAUAUUUCAACAAAUAUCUCGUCCAAAGAUGAUGUCUUGGAAAGAGGACGCUGAUUGCUGCUCCUGGGAUGGAGUAACAUGUGAUUCGGCGACGGGUCACGUGAUUGGCCUCGACCUCAGUUGCAGUUGGCUUCACGGCAACAUCCCUUCCAACAGUAGCCUUUCCUUGCUUCCUCGCCUGCGAAAGCUCAACCUGGCCUUCAAUGAUUUCAAUUACUCUAAGAUUUCUUCUGGUUUUACUGAUCAAUUUCCGAGUUUGACACUCCUUAACCUCUCUACCAGCAAUUUCACGGGGUCAAUUCCUGCCUCACUAGGUAACAAUAUUACACAACUUGCUUAUUUGGAUCUUUCGUAUAACAGUUUUAGUGGUCACAUUCCAUCAUCUUUUUCAAAUCUUCAGCAGCUUCGUCAUUUAGAUCUUAUGGCCAAUAAUUUUGUUGGUGAAAUUCCUACAUCAUUAGGUAACAAUGUUACACAACUUGCUUAUUUGGAUCUUUCGUAUAACAGUCUUACUGGUCACAUUCCAUCAUCUUUUUCAAAUCUUCAGCAGCUUGGUUAUUUAAAUCUUCAGGACAAUAAGUUUGUUGGUAAAAUUCCGGAUAUGUUUACCAACCUAACCCAACUUUCUCUUUUAGGCUUGGCAAAUAAUCAACUGAUUGGCUCGAUUCCAAGUUCAAUCUUUGAACUUUUGAAUUUGACAUAUGUCUCUCUUUCUUUUAACAAUUUCAGUGGCAGCGUUGAGCUUUACGAUUUUGCAAAGCUCAAAAAUCUUAAAUUUCUUUCUCUUUCUAAUAUUAGUUUAUCAGUGAGCACCAAAUUAACAGUCAACUCGUCUUUCCCUAAUCUUCUGGGGUUGCGUUUAUCGGCUUGCAAUAUAAGUGAGUUUCCAGACAUCUUGAGAACUCAACAUCAGUUAGAGUGGUUGGGCCUUUCUAAAAACCAAAUCCAUGGUAGGAUUCCCAGUUGGAUGUGGGAUAUUGGAGUACAUACUUUGUGUUUUCUAAUUCUUUCACAAAACUUCCUGACAAGCAUAGACCAUCUUCCGUGGAAAGUCUUAAACUUAAUGGCAAUCGGUUGGAAGGACCAUUGCCUCCAUCUUUGGUUAAUUGUCGACAUUUGGAAGUUAUAGAUGUUGGGAACAAUCAGAUUAAUGACACCUUUCCCUACUGGUUAGACGUUCUUCUUGAAUUGCAAGUUCUUAUAUUGCGUUCUAAUAGAUUUUGGGGUCCUAUUGGUGAUACCAAAACAAGAGUUCCCUUUCCCAAGUUGCGAAUAAUUGAUUGCUCUCACAAUCAACUCACCGGUGUUUUGCCACUACGGUAUUUGGAUAGUUUUAAAGCCAUGAUGCAUGGGGAUAACAAUAGUGUUGAAGUCGGUUAUAUGAGGUGGCGGUAUUCCUCUAAUUACUAUGAGUCAAUAUUUCUGACUAUGAAAGGCAUUGACUUACAAAUUGAGAGGAUUCUAAAGACUUUUGCAACUAUUGAUUUGUCCAGCAAUAGAUUGUUAGAAAAUUGGUGGGUGAAGCAGGACCGCAGCUAAAAUGAAUUUGGAAGGAAAUAAAGAACAAGCACAAUAGAGGACACCAGGAAUUAUGUGGUUUGGCUUUUAACCUACGUCCACGGGCGAAAACAGAAGAAAAAUAUUUCACUAGUGAAAUAAAGAUUACAAGUAUUGUAAUAUUUUAGCUCACUACCCAAAACCCCAAUACACCCAAUCUAGGGGUGGGCAAAAAAAGUUGAUUAAUCAAAAAUCGAACCGAACCGAUCGGUUCGGUUUAGUUUUUAUGCGGUUUUUUUACCUCUAAAAAACCGAAAUAGUAGUAUAAUAUAAAUAGUAAAACCAAUCGGUUCGGUUUUCGGUUUUUUAAAAAAAUCAAAAAACCGAACCGGAAUCUCAAAUAAACCGAUUGUAAAAAAACCCUAAAGCUUAAAUCUAAACACUUCUGACUUCUGUCUCCCGCUGGCUGCUGCUCUGUUCGCUGGCCGCUUCUUCUGUUCCCGCUGUCCGCUGCUCGUCGUGACCUUCAACCAAAAGCAAAAACCGAACUCGUGAGUCGUGACCUUCAGCCACAGGCUCGAGUCGUGACCUUCAGCCACACUUCUGUCUUCUUCUGUCCCCUCUGCUCGUCGCCGCCGUUGCUCGUCAGUCGUCACUACUGCUGCUGCCACUGUCACCUGCCGUGUGAACUGUGAAGAUUGGUAUUUGUUUUCUGGAAGUUUAUCUCUCAGCAACCUUACGAAGUUCUCCUUUCCUUCACUCUCGAUCGCCUUCACAAUGUAAAAAAAAAAAAAGUUUUGAUUUCAAUCGAAGUUCUUCAGUGAUGGAAGCGGAUUGAUAUUGUUAUUUCUUGUAAUUGAAAGGAACCGGAACUUCUUCGAGUAAAUGCAAGAUUUGGUGAUAUUUAAUUUUUGUGAUUUUGUAAUUGAAAGGAACCGCUGCUGAAAUGUUUCAUGUUUGUACCUGUGUUACGGAAAUGGAGAAUUUAGAUAACCAUCAAAUCAUGAGUGGUAAUAAUGGAGAAUUUAGACAGUUCUCCAAUUAACUGUCUUUGGCAUUUCCAAUUAACUCUGUCUCUCUCUGCACCUUUUGCCUUGACUUACUGUCUUCUUCGCUUUUGUUUAUGCUUUCACUUAAACUUUCAGCUUCCAUGAUCAUUAUGGUGCCCAUAAAAUGCUUUACUUUCUAUGAAAAUUUGCCUGUUGGGUUGGCCAUUUAUAUUUGUACGUGGCUAGUCGAAGAAUUGCAGGUCCUCGAGUUCUUUACAUUUAAUUAGUUACAAUUCUUAAUUUAAUUGCAGGACUUGAAGUACUUAUAUAAGACAAUCAAGUCAUAUUAUUGUUGCAUGUUGCCAUGUUGAUGGGAUUCUCACUUUCUCAGUCUGGAAGGCUGCUUAAAUGGAAAUCCAAUUGAUGAAUUUGUGUACUGUGGAUUAAUAUUUUCUUCCUCAAAACAUUUUAUCCUCUUAGAAAUUAAGAUUGUAGCAAGCUUUUUUUAUUUUAUUUUACAAUUUUUGUUUGUUAACUUUUUAUAUUUGUGGUAGAUUUAUUAAUUUAAGGUUUUAAAUUUAAAAAAAUCCAAAAUAGGUCCAAUAGGUCCAUAAUCGAAAUAAUCGAACCGAACCGAAUCGAAUUAUUUUGAUUAAUCGAGUAUUUGAUUAUUUCAAUAAUUUGAUUAAUCGCGAUUAUGAUUUUAAAAUAAUCGUAAUCGAACGAUUAUGAAAAAAUUAGUAAAAAACCGAACCGAACCGAACUGCGUCCACCCCUAACCCAAUCUCUUACUCACUAGACACUCAAGAGUUUAUUAAACUCUUAAUACUCCCAACACUAAAAGAAAGCAAUGCUUGUCUCUCGAUGGAAUUGGAUACAAGCUCUAGAUUGAGAGCUUGUAUUUAUAGGCAAAACUUUGCCUCAAAUGUCAAACAAGUGGCCAUAAACUUCAAGCCAUACAACUCAAAAAUUUCAAACUUUGAAUUUUUAGCUUUGAAUUUUUCUUUUCUUUUACCAAACAUCACGGCAUCUAGAAUUUCAAAGCCAAGUGCCAACCAUUCUUGUUUAUUCAAAGCUUCUAGAUGCAGCCAAUUUUGACAUUCUCCCACUUGGAGAUUAAAUUGAAAAACAAUCAAUCUCCACACCAUCCUUUCUGCUUCGCCAUAAUUAUAUUGCCUACGUUUCUGCUAGGCGACAAGAGGAUCUACUCCAGAUAAACUUGUCAGCAUUUAUCGGCUUGGUCAAAACAUCUGCUAGGUUCUCUUUGGUAUGGAUUUUCUGCAAAUCCACACUUCCAUCUUCCACUACUUCUCGAACGAAGUGAUAUUGAACUCCUAUGUGCUUUGUCCUGGAAUGAAAGGCUGGAUUCCUUGCAAUGUGCAAGGCACUCUGACUGUCACAAUACACAAGAAUUUUAUGUUGUUUGUGCCCGAGCUCCUCCAAUAAUCUUUGUAUCCAAAUAGCUUCCUUGCAAGCUUGUGUAGCUGCCAUGUAUUCUGCUUCUGUUGUAGAUAAAGCCACAACGGUCUGCAGUUUAGAAACCCAGCUUACAGCUGCUCCUGCAAGUGUAAACACAUAACCAGUAAUGGAUUUUCUUUUAUCAAGGUCUCCUGCAAAAUCUGAAUCCACAUAGCCCCUGACAGUAAACUCUGAUCCUCCAUAACAUAAUGCAACAUUUGAGGUUCCUCUGAUGUAUCUCGGAAUCCUCUUCACAGCUAUCUAAUGCUCUCCACCAGGAUUCGUCAUGUAUCGACUGACUGCUCCCACUGCUUGUGCAAUGUCCGGUCUUGUACAUAUCAUAGCGAACAUUAAACUUCCCACUGCUAAUGCAUACGGUACUCGAGACAUCUCCUUCCUCUCCGCUUCAUUGCUAGGACACAUACUUGAGGAUAAUUUGAAAUUAACAGGAAGUGGGGUAGAAAUUGACUUACAAUCUUGCAUGUUAAAGCGUCGCAAGAGUUUCUUCAAGUAAUUCUUCUGCGAAAGUCAAAUCUUCCUGUUAUUUCUGUCUCGGUGAAUUUGCAUCCCUAGAAUCUUGUUUCCUGGUCCCAAGUCCUUCAUUUCAAACUCCCUAGCCAACUGUGCCUUCAAUUCUUGGAUUCGAUCUUUGUUGGGACCUGCUACCAACAUGUCAUCCACAUACAACAACAAAAUAAUGAAAUCAUUAUCUUCAAACCUCUUGUAAUAUGCACAAUGGUCUGAAUUGAGUCUGUUGUAUCCAAGGCUCAUGAUGAAGGAAUCAAAUCUCUUAUACCAACACCUCGGCAUCUGUUUGAGACCGUAUAGAGAUUUGUUCAACAUGCAAACCAAGUUCUCAUUUUCUAUUUCUGCAAAACCUUCUGGUUGGAGCAUAUAUAUUUCUUCUUCAAGUUCUCCAUGAAGAAAUGCAGUUUUCACAUCUAACUGCUCUAGAUGUAAGUCAAAUGUAGCACACAUCGCCAAGACUACUCUGACUGUUGUGAGUCGAACCACCGGAGAAAAUAUCUCAUUGAAGUCAAUACCUUCUUUCUGAGCAUAUCCUUUCACCACCAAUCUCGCACGAUACCGCUCCACUUGGUCAUUACCAUCACGUUUGAUUUUGUAGACCCAUUUGUUUCCAAUGACUUUUCUUCCACGUGGUAAUGGUACAAGUUCCCAUGUCUUGUUCUUAUGUAGAGCUUCAAUUUCUUCCUGCAUUGCUGUCAUCCACAAAGCAACAUCUGAGCUUUCUAAAGCUUCAUGGAAAGUUGAUGGCUCUCCAUCCUCUGUUAGAAGACAAUACGCAAUAUUGAUCUCUGUGACAUACUCUGAGUGCCACACUGGCGGUCGUCUAUCACGAGUUGACCGAUGAACUUCUAGAGCCUCAGACUCGACUGGUUCUUGUUCCUCGUGCUCUGGUGCUGCUUCAGAAGAAUCUAAAUCUUCUGGAUUAUUUUCGACAUAUACCGGUACAGUCUCUGAUUUUUCUUUUGCAGUGCUAUCAUUCUCAUCUCUCAUUUGCAGUUGAUCUUCUACAAAGAUAACAUCUCUGCUGAUGACGAUCUUGUGGGCAGUGGGGUCCCACAGACGAUACCCCUUUACUCCAUUAGCAUAUCCCAAGAAGAUACAUCUUCUAGAUUUUGCAUCCAGCUUUGUUCUUUCUUGGGCAUUGUACAUCACGUACACAGGACAUCCAAAUGCAUGUAGGUAGGAAUAAUCAGCUGGCUUUCCAGUCCACAUCUCCAUCACUAUCUUCAGCCCAAUUGCUGUAGAUGGUGAUCAAUUUACUAUAUAACAGGCAGUUUUGGCUGCUUCUGCCCAGAAUGAAUUGGGUAGACCAGCAGUCCUCAACAUAGCUCGUAUUCUUUCUGUAAGAGUUCUGUUCAUCCGCUCUGCCACUCCGUUUUGUUGAGGAGUGUAUGCCACCGUGAACUGCCUCUGAAUACAUUCUUGCUUACAGAAAGCAAGAAACUCGCCGUCUGUAUACUCUCCACCAUUAUCCGUCCUCAAGCACUUGAUCUUUUUACCAGAUUCAAGUUCCACCCGCGAUUUGUAUUCUUUAAGCACAGGAAAUACAUAUGACUUUUUCUUAAUUGGAUACACCCAACAUCUUCUGGAAUAAUCAUCAAUGAAAGUCACCAUGUACUUUGCACCUCCCAUGAAUAUAUUCGGUGAUUCCCAAACAUCAGAAUGAAUCAAGUCUAGAAUGCAUUUACUUCUAGCAAUAGAUCUACUGAAUUUUAAUUUAUGCUGCUUACUUAUAACACAAUGCUCACAAAAUGGUAAACUUACCGAUUUGAGCCCCGAAAGUAAUUUUCGCUCAGAGAGAAUCUUCAAACAGUGUUCUGACAUGUGACCAAGUUUGAGAUGCCACAUCAUCGUUGACUCUUCUCCAUUUGAUGCGACACACGCAUCAGCCUCCUGUAGUGUUUCUCCUUUAAGCAUGAAUAAAUUAGCACCGCUCUUUUCUGCCUUUAUCAAUACAAGCGCUCAUUUAACGAUCUUCAUAAUUCCAUUCUCCUCAUGAGUUUUGUACCCAUGACUAUCCAUUUGUCCCAAAGACAAUAGAUUUUUCUUCAGGCCGUUGACAUGUCGUACCUCUCCUAUUGUGCGAAUUGUACCAUCAAAUAUUUUUAUUUUGAUAGUACCAAUAUCAGCGAUCUCCAAGGCAUGAUCAUCUCCCAUAUAUACAGAUCCUCCUUAAAUAGGUUCAUAUGUGUGGAACCAUUCUCUCCGGGAGGUCAUGUGCCAGAUAGCUCCUGAGUCUAUAAGCCAGACAUCAUAUAGUCGUUUUAUGCCUUCUGAAAUAGUUGUUGCCUCGCUGUAAAGAAUUUCGCCAUCAUCUGAGGUACUUGCUACACACCCCUGAGCAUUUGAUGACUCAGGUUCUUUACCCUCUCUUCUCUUCUGAUUACUCCAACACUCCUUUUUAACGUGCCCUUUCUUGCCAUAGUUGUAGCAUUUAACAUUCUUCUUACUUCUAGAUUUUGAUCUACCAUGAUUUUGACUCCCACUAGGGCCACGUUCCGUUGAUCUCCCUCUCAUCACCGAUAGCGCCUCCGCUUGCUGCGAACUUGCUUGUCUAUUUUCCUUAUUUUUCCGCCUGCUCUCGUCAUUUAAUACGGAGGCUGCAACAUCGUCGAAAACUAGACUGUCCACUUGAUUGUUGUUCGUCAGGUUGAUGAUAAGUUGAUCAUACGAAUCUGGUAGACUUUGAAGUAGAAGCUCUGCACGUUCAUUUUCCUCUAUAUUAUGACCCAACGUUGUGAGUUGUGAAAAUAGAGUCUUCAAGGUGUUGAUGUGGUCGGUCAUAGAUUCCGUCAUUCGAAGAGUAUAGAGUUUUCUCUUCAAGAAGAUUUUGUUGUGUAGUGACUUGGCCUCGUAUAAUUUUGUAAGAGUAUCCCAUAUUUCCUUCGCUAUAUUUUUCUCUACCACACUGGAUAAUACUCCAUCUGCAAGUGCCAAGUGUAGAUCAGAAAUGGCGUUGCCAUCUAUCUCGUUCCACUUGUCAUCGGUUAUCUCUAUGGGCAUUUCUCCAAUUGCUGCCAAGCAAUUAUUUUUCCUUAAUACAACUUUCAUCUUCAUUUUCCACAACGAAAAAUUAUUUCCGUUAAACUUCUCAAUUUUAUACUUUGCCGCCAUUUUGUUGAUAAAUAUCGCACACAAGUUAGUGUACCACCUUGAAUAGUUGUGAGUAUGUGUGAGAAUGCACACCAAGAAAGUUCCUAGGAAAGACUGGAGGGGUCACAAUGGUCCCACUUAAAACCCAGACUCCUUAAGCUCUUAUCGCCCUUGUGACAGAACUUUCCUAGACAUGUACAAAAACCACACAGUUGUUUUACUCACACCACUAUUCCCUACUUUGCACCGCAAAAUUCUUGGAUCGCUCCCACCGUUUCACGUGAAUAGUACCGUAUACGUGAACAAUACCGUAUACGUGAAUAGUGCCGUAUACGUGAACAGUACCUGACUCCAAAAAAUACAACCAAUAGCUCUGAUACCACUGUUAGAAAAUUGGUGGGUGAAGCAGGACCGCAGCUAAAAUGAAAUUGGAAGGAAAUAAAGAACAAGCACAAUAGAGGACACCAGGAAUUACGUGGUUCGACUUUUAACCUACGUCCACGGGCGAAAAUAGAAGGAAAAUAUUUCACUAGUGAAAUAAGGAUUACAAGUAUUGUAAUAUUUUAGCUCACUACCCAAAACCCCAAUACACCCAAUCUCUUACUCACUAGACACUCAAUAGUUUAUUAAACUCUUAAUACUCUCAACACUAAAAGAAAGCAAUGCUUCUCUCUCGAUGGAAUUGGAUACAAGCUCUAGAUUGAGAGCUUGUAUUUAUAGGCAAAACUUUGCCUCAAAUGUCAAACAAGUGGCCAUAAACUUCAAGCCAUACAACUCAAAAAUUUCAAACUUUGAAUUUUUAGCUUUGAAUUUUUCUUUUCUUUUACCAAACAUUACGGCAUCUAGAAUUUCAAAGCCAAGUGCCAACCAUUCUUGUUUAUUCAAAGCUUCUAGAUGCAGCCAAUUUUGACAUAGAUUUCAAGGGAAAAUUCCAGAAGUAGUGGGAAAGUUGAAUUCACUCAAAAGUCUCAACAUUUCUCACAACAACCUGACAGGUGGUAUUCCUUCAUCGCUGAGAAAUCUGACAGAGCUUGAAUCUCUAGACCUCUCUUCAAACAAGCUUGCUGACGUAUCCCAACACAACUAGCGAGUCUCAAUUAUCUUGCGGUGUUGAAUCUUUCGAACAACCAGCUCAAAGGACCCAUACCAGGAGGACCCCAAUUUAAUACAUUUGGAAUUGAUUCCUAUUCUGGUAACUCGGGGCUGUGUGGAUUCCCAUUCUUAAAAAGCUGCAACAUUGAUGAGGCACCAAAACCAACAACACCAACAUGAUUUAUCGAAGGAGACGAUGCUUCAAGCUGGUUUGAUUGGAAGCUCGCUAUGUUGGGUUACGCAUCUGGAGUGGUGAUCGGCUUGUCCAUCAGAUACAUGGCAUUUUUGACUGGAAGGCCACAAUGGUUUGUAAGAAUGAUCGAAAGGAAGCAAUCCAGGAAGCUGAGAAGGGUGAUCAGACGAGGCAGAGCUGGUAGAAGAAGUUUGUUGGUGCAUCUCUAAAGGCCCAAGUGAGUAAUUAUUAGUUUGUCUUUUGGAAUUAUAAGCUGGUUUCUACUGUUCUUUAAGUAGAUAGCAUGUUGAUAUUAUCGUAAUCUAACAGUUGACUUGCAAAAAUCACAAUCCUAAUUAAUUUCAAAUUAUGCUUAUUAUCAACAUCUAUAGUGAGAAACAAAAUGAGGAUAAUGUAUAAGAAAGAAAAUUUUAACUGAAUUAUUGAUGCGAUUGUUUUUACUUUUAUUGCCAUUUCAUUAGAACAUGUCGUCACGGAUGUACAUUUUGAUGGUAAAAUGAUUUGAAGUAAUAUUGUUGCAGGAAAUUGUGCGGGGGUAACUUUGGUUUGUAAUCAUGUACUUCAAAUUUGGGCGUAGAACGUGCUAUUUCAAAGUUUGUGAGCAGACAACGUUAACUGUUGGCAUUUGGAAGUUUUUGAUAAUAAAAAUGAUCAUGUUAAUAAUAUCUUUCUUUAUUGGUUAGAAAUUAUUCAUAAAUUGUAAGUGCUUAUAUUACGAUCUAACCAAUUUCGUGAUGCCAUUGGCCAUAUUAAAACAAGAGUUCCCUUCCCCAAGUUGCGAAUAAUUGAUCUCUCUCAGAAUUAACUCACUGGUGUUUUGCCAACUCAGUGUCUUGAAAAUUCUAAAGUCAUAAUGCGUGGGGAUAACAAUAAUGUUGAUUUCAACUCUUACUAUGAAUUAAUAAUUGUGACCAUAGAAGGAACCGACCAACAAAUGGAGAGGAUUCUAAUCAUUUUCAUGCCAAUUGAUUUGUCGAACAAUCAAUUUCGAGGAAAAUUUUAGAAGUGGUGAGAUAACUUAAUUCACUUAAAUGUCUUAACAUUUUUCACAACAAGCUGACAAGUGGCAUUCCAUCAUUGUUGGGAAAUCUGUCAGAGCUUGAACCUUUUGACUUCUCCUCAAACAAGCUUAUUGGGAUGAUUCCAAUGCAAUUGGCGAGUCUGAAAUUUCUUUUCUUGCUAAAUUUUUUGUACAACCAGCUUGAGGGACAUCAACCUCAAGGACCUCAAUUAACUACAUUUUCAAACGAUUUUUAUACUGUAAACUUGAGGUUGUGUGGUUUUCAUUAUCACAAAGCUGUAACAUUGAGACAUUAGAACUGUUACUAACAAGAUUGGACAAAAGAGAUAAUAAUUCGAGCUGGUUUGAUUGGAAGUUCGCUAAGAUGACCAAUGAACCUAGUGGCCUAUGGCUAGACACAGGUACAGCACAUGGCACAAUACAGGCAGAGUUUCAUUAGGGUACCAGAACAACAUGUGUCCAUACAACACGGUAUGAGCACAUUUUGAUAGGGCACGUGGCAUGACAUGACAUGGCAAGUACGCGGGUUGAGCUGGGCUGGAUUAAUAAUUUUAGGUACAUGUGCCUAACAAGCACAGUACGAUUAGAGAUAGUAUAAAACACAACUCAUGAAAAGGUCUGCAAUAAGAACGUUUAUCUGUUGGGCUAGCACACGACUUGCAGACCAUCAAUAACAUGUGGGCCAAUACAUAUUUUAGUGAUUUUUUUUAUGAAAGUAAAAUUGAAAUUUUAUGAUUUUACAAAUAAUUUAAAUUUGAAUCUUUUUAUAUAUUUCAUUAGCAUAGUUUUUUAAAAAUUCAUUUAAUUCUUAGUUUAAAAAAUUACUCUAAUUUUUUUACAUUUAUAAUUUACUAAAUGAAUAGAUGAUCAUGAUUUUAAAAAAUAAAAUUAUAAAUAUCAUGAUUUCAUAAAUGUAUGCAUUAAUGUGAUUGUUGGUACGAAAAUAUAGAUAAGCAAUAAGAGUUGAAAAAAAAUUAUUUACUUAGGGAACAAGUUGAGAGAGUUUGAUUUACUCAUAAUUGCCAUUAUUGAGAGUGAAAAGCUUGAUAAUUGGAAUUUUUUAAAACAAUAAGCCAUCAGGAUUCGCUUGGGGGUAUUAUCGUUGUAGACCCUCCGAUACUGAAGUUAGAGAUUAAAAAUAAUAUGAUAAUAAAUAAAUAAUAAGAGAGAAAAGAGAAUAAGAGAAUAAAUAUUGUCAUACAAUAUACAUAUUUCGCAUGUAUCUUUAUAUAUAUACACACACAGACACACACCUUUGAGUGAUGAUCUCUUUAUAUAAGAGUGCUAAUAAUAAAAAGUGUUUAAAUUUUAAAUUAUAAAUGCCAUGUAAAUAUUGAAUUAACAAAUAAAAUUAUAAAUAUCAUGUAAAAGCAUUGCAGUUUCGUUGGCCAUCGCCUUGAAUUUAAAUUUUAAAAGAACCAAAAAAACAUAGUAAAUGUAAAAAUAACAUAAAAUAACAAAGCUUGAAGAAGUUUACUUCUUUAUUUCUUGCAUUUUCAAACUCUACUAUUUUAGGGCUCAAAAUCAUUUUCUAUUCUGCAUUUUAUAAAACUAGAAAUUAAAAAUACAAAAUUCUAUGGGAAUGUCAUGUGAUGCGUCGACAUUGGGUAGAUAUUCACUGUUUAUAUCUCAGUGCUGUUUUCCUCACCCCUCAUGAGUAAGCUUUGAAUUUGGUACCCAAUUUGUCCAAGAGUUAGUGAGCCAAUGAUCACUCAUUCACUCUAAUUAGAUAUUUAGUGGAUGAAAAUUGAUUGGACGUAAAAGAAAAUGCACAUGAAUAAUCGAAAUAACUUUCAAGUCCAAAAAGGCUUUGACUUAUUUGAUGCUUGUUCAAAUGGCUCAGUAUGUGCCGCGUCAACAUGUGAAAACUCAUCCACGUCACCAGCCUCAGCGCUCUCGCCACGUCAUCAUUCAAGCGGUUGUAACUGAUGAUAAUUUGGAUAAGAAAAAAGUGGCGCGAGCUUUGCUUCGUUUGAAUAGCACGGCCACGGCCAUAAUGGCCAGUGCUACAAGUGCUACUAAAGAGACAGUUCUUGACGGAGCUCACUUUCAAAUGAAGAACCGAAAUGCCCGCGUUUUGGUACUUGGAGGUACGGGUCGGGUCGGUGGAGUUGUAAAUUCAAAUAUUUUAGAAUGCUGUCAAACACGCUAGUUCUUGGAUGGAACUAUGGGGACAUGGAGUUGUAAAUUCAAAUAGUUAUGGCUGGAAUAUUUCCUAAUUUACAGUGUGUCGCUGAGAAAAUUUUGCAUACCGGCAGGGAAAAAGGUGCUGCAAUGGUCUCUACAUUGGGGAAGAAUUCUGAAUUUGCUGAAGUUAACAUUUACAAUGAAGGCUCAUUAUUAAUGGCUUUAAGAGGUGAGAUCAUUCCUCACUGACUAGAUGUAUCUUCUAUUGUUCCACAUCAAUAAUUCUUUUUCUUCUAGAGUCGAAGUAACACAGGAGUGUUUGAAAUAUUUGGUAAUCAAGUUAUACCAAGUGCAGCUCAAGUUCUUACAUUAAUCAAGUGAGCAGAAUUUCUGAGCAGAAGGGGCAUCUUUGGGAAUUAAACUGUACUGGAUGAGAUCGAAUUAAUUUUCGAGCCAUACAUCAUUGGAAAGAUAUUUCUGUUAGCUUUCCAAUGAAUUUUACUAAUCUAAAUUUGGAGUUUUCUACAGUAAGUUGUUAAGUGCAGACUGUUCAGUUUUGAGUCAAGAAGAAUAUUUCGGGACUUGGAUUUUUUUUAAUGUUCUUUGUUGUGUUUUAAGCAUACCAAUGUUUUAUUAAUGUCUAGCUUUAAUGUUGGUCUUUAAAGUCAAGUUAUUUGAAGGGUUUCUUUGUAGUAAAUCUAUGCUUGGAGGAUUGUUCUAAGAAAGCUAUUUAAGCUUAUGUAGUUGUAACCAAAGGACAGAGAUUAAUUUUGGAAUUGGAUGAACUUUGAGUUAUUAUCAAACUCUGUAUCUCUUUGGUGGAUUCCAAUGAGUGGUGAGUAUUUUUAAGCCCUGUAUCCUUAGCUUAACAACUUUAGGUGGUGAAUUUUUCUGUAUCCUUUUGUUGUUUGCUGUGGUGGUGAGCUUGUGAUUUCUUGGGUGUGUGACGUUGAUGGGUGUCGAAGCCAACAAAAAUAAAUUCCUACUCUAAAUAAAUUGUGUAUAGUAAUUGAGCAGGGUCGUGUCCACAGAGAUCGGUAAUUAUUUAAAUCCUUUUAAAAUGUAAAACAUAAAAUGGGGGUUUUGUUGACAAUAAUAAAAAUCAAAUUAAGAUAACAAGAAUGCAAAUUAAAGUUGUAAUUCAAAUUGGAGAAAGCUCUGGUUGAAGGAAUUAACUCAGCUUGAUUCGACUACUGAUCAUUGAUUCAAAUAUAGAUUAUUAUUACUUAUGAAUAGACCGGUUAUAGCUAUUGAGACCCUCUAAUAGCCAAUCUCUCCUUAACUAGUCGAUAACCAAGGUACGACCGUUGGAUAUUUCCCUAAUCAAUAGACAACCCUAGAUACGAUCAUAUGAUUUAAUCAAUUGACAGCCUGAAAAACUAGAGAGACCCAAAUCCUAAUCAACACAUAUGAUGAUUCAUUUAAAUUAGAUUGUUUAUUCUCACAACACAACUCUCUGCUAUGUUAUUUGUCACAAACAUUAAAUUCUUCAUACGAUGAAUCCUUUAAUUGACAAUAGAUUAAGUUGAUAAUUAAAUAGUGGCCAAUUACCUAAUUAACAAACAUAAUCACGAAACUAAUUCAGAGAAUAAACAAAUACCCAAAAAGUAAUAAAACAAUUAAAGCAUAAGAAAGAUCUCACAGUAGUGAUGAAUCAAAGCUUCAUUAACCUUCAACCAGAAAAAUAGGUUUAGUUCUUCAUAGAGAGAAGAGAAAAAUUAAGAUCUAGGGUUUCUUUCUUUUUCUCCAAUCCAAAUCCCCCUUUUUCACAAUAGAUUCCUCCCUUAAAUACUCUCUCUCUUCUCUUUUAGAAUUCUAUUUAAAAUAAAAUACUAAUAUCUGAAAUAUUAAAUUCGUAAUUACAAAAAUAACCAAAAAUACAAAACACGUUAAACUAAAAACUGCAGGUCCGCAGUUGACAGCACGCGCCCACGCCUUAUCAACAAAGUUCUUCUGACGCUCAUAAUUUCUCCAAGAGACAAUCCUCCUUAAACAUCAUCUUUUAGCUCAAUUUUAUCACCAAUCAAUAGAAUUGCACCUACAAAAGUAAAACACAAGUAAAACAUUAUUAUUAAGUGCAAAACAUCGAUAUUAAGGGAAGUAAAUAAUGCAAAACUAGUGCAUAAAUUGCACUCUAACAAAUUCCCCCACACCAAGAUGAUGCUUGUCCUCAAGCAUAUAACUCAAGAUUAAUCUCAAAUCUCCACUCAAUUCUCAUCUCAACUCAUCCAAAAAUAAUUUUAAGCAAGCAUACCUCAAGAAAUUAAGUCGAUCAACAUUCGAGAGACAAGGACUUUUAAAGCAUAGAAUCUCAUAAGAUAGAAUAAGAACAUUCAACCACCAAGAACAUCCAUUCAAAAUUCAAGUGCAACAAGAUUUAAUAGCCCUCUCAAUGACUUCACUCCAUGCACUCAAAGUGUUUAGGGUAUCAUUUAUGCACUCAAAUCAAAUCAAAGAAUGCUAUUACCAUAAGCUUGCUCAUAUAUCACAUCUCAAUCCACAAAACAUGAAUAAAAUGCAAAAAUCUAAGGGUCUUAAAUGGGUUGUAAUGGGGUUAAAUAGGUUAAAUGAAAAAGAAAGGUCUAUGAAAGAAAAAGAGAUCAAAAUGAGAAGAAUGAACUCAUUGAAUGAACUUAUGAUAUCAAAAUGCUUAUUUCUACUCAAGUCACCAAGAAUGUAAACUUUUUUUUUUCGAAUUUUUUUUUUCAAUUUUUCUUUUUCUUUUCUUUUUCUUUUCUUUUUUUUGUUUUUUUUUUUCGAAUCAAACAAAAGAAACGAACCUUGCACAAUUUAAUUCAAGAAUAAUGCUUGUUGAUCUUAUUGAGAAACUUUAAUACAAGGUAGAAAAGGCAACAAAAUAUAUUCACACAAUGAGUCCAAAAAUCUCCUUAAAUUGAGGCUCAAAAAGAAGAAAAAUGGUUAAGUAGACGGAGAGAAUUAGAUGGGUAAUGGUUAAGGCUCAAACAAAGGUAGCAAAUAAAGGUCUUCGGGUAGAGAAAAAAAAUGCGAGAAUAGAAAAAUGGUAAAUGGUUUGCCCUUAUCAUUUUAAUGCAUAAAAUCCCGUAAUGUGGCUUCAACAUGCAUAAUAAAGAAAGUUCUAGAAUAAACAAACUAAGAUUGAUAUUCACAUAACAAAAAUAAUUAGAGCAAAGUGGUUGCUCAUAGGCUCAAAUCCUCACAAAGUUGGUAAAUUUGCCAUCAAAUCAUGUACACUCUUCAAAUGAAUCAACCAUCAAUAGUGGUGUAGAAUGAGAAGAAGGUAUGAGUGAUAUAUAAAAGGAAAGGUAAAAAUGAUAAGAAGUGAGAAAGAUGAAAAGUGAAAGAUAAAAUGUGAGUGAUGAAAGAGUAUGAUAGAAUAAAAAUAGAUGUAAAUAAUUUGAGAUAGAUGGGAAAAGAGUAGUGAGAAAGGAAAUAAUAAUAAUAAUAAUAAUAUAUGAAGCAUACUAACUCCAAAAUCAUUUAAGGAUGAGUAGAGUGAAAAAAAAAAAGAUAAGUAGAGUGAAAACAAUAAUUCCAGACAUCAAUAAUGCAAAAAUCCCUCCCCCACACCAAGAACUUACAUUGUCCCCAAUGUAAGAUAAUCAAAGCUCACAUAAAAAUUAAAGCGUAAGGAUAAAAGAUUAAGGGCAAAAAGAAACUUCCCUGAAUUGUGAGCUUUGAUCCACAUAACGUCUAUGAGCUUGGCGGAAAUGGUGGGGUAAAUCCCACACUCUCGAAGUAUGCAGCCAAAUUCUGCUCCAUCUUAUUCAGCUUGUGCUCCAUUUUCUCUAGCUGAAUACUCAAAGGUGGUGCGGAUGUAGAAGGAAUAGUUGGCGGGGCAGCAGUGUCGUCGUCAAACUCGUCAUCAGAGGUAGCACCACUCCUAGCAUAAAGCUUCUUCGGAGGUUGAGUGGGUCAUGGUUCAGUAAACUGAAAUCUCCCCUCCUUGAAUUCAACCACACCUCUCUUUCUCUUGUUGAGUCGCGAACGCAAGGCACCCUCCGAGAUUGGAUUCCGCAAGUGGCAAAAUACUCAUGCCUUUUCCAUGCUUCGAUCUUUGUCUCACGGCUUGGCGUGAAUAUGAAAUUGUGUUCCAUGGAACCGUAGUGGGAGCGGCAAUCUUAGAUUUCUUUGCGAUGGGUGUCUUUUUCGAUGACUUGGAAGUUGAUGCUUUCCUCUUCGACAUUGUUACAAUAAUUGCACUCACGGAUUUCGAUUUACCUGGCUGGAAUACAGGGCGUACGUUGUGCGCUGGUGAGGCUUGCUUUGCGGGUGCUGUGCUGCGCUGCGUUGCGCGCUAGUGGUACUUCGUUGCGCGCUGCUGGGCUGCGAGACACGGGAUACUGGUGCUGCGCGCGCGGGGGCUUGCGUUGCGCGCUGGUGAGGCUGCGUUGCACGCUGGUGGUUCGCGUUGCUGGUUCGCGCUAUGUUGCUGGCCUGGAUCUACGCACUGCUGCGUUCGCGUUGUGUUGCGCGCGAGAGCUGGUUCGCGCUGUUGGUCUGCUGCUGCUCAGCUACGUUGCGCGCGGCUGGAGCUAAGAAUCUGGGUUGCUGGGGCUUGCGUUGCGCGAGACUGGUUCGCGCUGGCUGUUGCUUGCGUUGCGGGGUGAAGGCUGGAGCUGAGGCGCGCUGCUGUAAAACGAUAAUCAACAGUAAUUUUUGAAUUAGGGAUUUGUGAACAGUGAUUUUCGAUUUUUGGUUUUUUGUUUUUUGUUUUUUUAAUAAAUAAAUAAAUAUAUAUAUAAAAGAAAGAACAAAAGAAAAUUUUUUUUUCAUUUUUUAAAAAAUAAAUAAAUUAAAUUAAAUAAAAAAAAAGAUUUUUUUUUUUUUUUGUGAUGAAACACUUUGAGACACCAAAAAUUUCAGAAGUACUUUUUUAAUAAGCACGUGGGCACGCCUUAAAACUAUUUUACUUUAAAAAUUACAGAAGUAUUGUUUUAGUUAAGACGUGGGCACGCCUUAUCAAAAAUUUUCUUCUGGCCAAAAUAAGCAAACACAUUAUUUUAAAAAAAAAUCUGAAUCAAAAUUAAAAGAAGAUAUAACAAAAACCAAAAUAAAUAAAUCAUUUGGGUUGCCUCCCAAAAAGCGCCUUUGUUUUAUGUCUUUGGCUAGACACAUUUAUGCUUCAAUCUCCAUAAUUGGGACUCUCGAGAGCCACAUCCUCCACAAUAUUCACCGAAAAACCUUCAUAAAAAGGUUUUAAGCGAUGACCAUUAAUCUUAAAAACUUUGUCAGAGGUCGGACUCCGAAUCUCAACUGCACCAUGAGGAAAAACAUUAGUACCAAUAAAAGGUCCAACCCAGCAAGAACGUAAUUUACCCGGAAAAAGUUUAACCUUAGAAUGAAAAAGAAGAACUUUUUGACCAACAGAGAACUCCUUUCUCAAAAUCAUUCUAUCAUGAAAUGUCUUCGUCUUUUCCUUGUAAAAACUUUCCUGCGCUAUAGGGUUAAUAACAUCCACAGAAAAUACCGAAUGUUCCUCACUAGGAUAUUUCAUGGUAUCAUUCAUAUUGAAUUCUAUAACCUCUCCAUCAAACUCCAUAGUGAGAGUCCCUUUAUGUACAUCCAUUUUAGUCCUAGCAGUCUUAAGAAAAUGUCUUCCUAGUAAAAUUGGGACAGAAUUAGAGAAGUUAUCAUCUUCCAUAUCAAGUACAUAAAAAUCAGCAGGAAAAACCAACUCAUUAACUUGUACUAAGACAUCUUCUAAUACCCCAUCAGGAUAUGCAUUAGACCUAUCAGCUAGUUGAAUUAUCAGGCCAGUUUCUUUUAAUGGACCAAUAUUCAAAGAUGAAUAAAUGGAACGAGGCAUGACAUUAAUAGAAGCUCCUAGAUCUAACAUAGCCUUUUCAACUCUAACACUACCAAUUUUACAAGGGAUAGUAAACAUACCUGGAUCCUUGCACUUAGGAGGUAGUUUCUUUUGGAGAACUGUUGAAACAUUCUCCCCCAUGUGAACUUUUUCAUCUCCUCUUAAUUUUCUUUUGGAGGUGCACAGUUCCUUAAGGACUUUAGCAUAUCGAGGUAUUUGUUUUAUAGCAUCUAAUAAAGGAAUAUUUACCUCAACCUUGCGAAAUGUCUCAAGGAUGUCUUUCUCUUGUUCCUCCUUCUUAGAUUUUGCAAACCGGCUUGGAAAAGGAGGAGGUAUCACAAUAGGUAGGGGUUUCGCUCCGGUGGGUUGUGCAUCUUGAGAUUGAGGCAUCAAUUCAUUCUUCUCAAGCUCAUCUUCUACAUGCUCUGUCACUUUCUUACUAGGCUCUUGCAACUCCUUCGCACUUCUAAGGAUGACAGCACUAACAUUUUGCUUUGGAUUCACCUCAGAUUGUGAAGGCAAUCUCCCUAAUACUUGAGACUCCAGACGGCUCACUGUAGUCGCCAAUUGACUCAUUUGGUUCUCCAAGUUCUGAAUGCUUGCUGUAGUUGCCUGCUGAAAUUGUUGAGUGUUAGUCGCAAGUGAUUUAACAAUUUCUUCAAGAGAUAUACCUGACUUGGAGUUUGACUGUGGAGGUGCUGGUUGUCUUGGUGGAUACUGUUGUGGGAAUCCUGACGGUCUAACUCCAUAGCUGAAGUUGGGAUGAUCCUUCCAUCCCGGAUUGUAUGUUUGUGCAUAAGGAUCAUACCUCCUCUGAGGCAUGCCUGGAAAUCCUCCAACUGCAUUGGCUUGUUCAACGGGUUCUUCUUAGAGUGUAUGACACAUAUAAGUUGAAUGACCCAUAUUGUAACAAAUGCCACAAGUCUUCACCUGUUGCACAUUACCUACAACAAACUUUUCCACAAGAGAAGUUAGUUUAUCUAAACGUUGUUCAACAGAAGAAAUAUUUACCUCAUUCACCUUCCUUGAAGUGAGAUCUUGCCUGCUGCCAAAUUGUUGUGCGUUGGCAGCCAUAUUUGAUAUCAACUCCCUUGCUUGAGUAGGGGUCUUGUUCACCAACACACCUCCACUAGCAGCAUCUAUCAUACUCCUAUCCAUUAAUGACAGUCCUUCGUAAAAAUAUUGAAUAAGAAGUUGAUCAGAAAUCUGAUGCUGAGGACAACUGGCACACAAUUGUUUGAAUCGCUCCCAAUACUCAUACAAAGUCUCCCUAGGAAGUUGUCUGAUCCCACAAAUAUCUUUUCUGAUGUUGGCAGCUCUUGAAGCAGGAAAGUACUUCUCAUGGAACUGCUUCUUUAAACCAUUCCACGUUGUAAUUGAUCCAGGAGGCAAGUAGUACAACCAGUCUUUAGCUAGUCCAUCUAAAGAGAAAGGAAAAGCACGCAGCUUAAUCUGCUCUUCAGUCACACCUUGUGGUCUCAUACUUGAACACACAACAUGAAACUCCUUAAGAUGUUUAUGAGGAUCUUCACCUGCAAAACCAUGAAACUUGGGUAAUAAAUGAAUAAGACCAGACUUUAAUUCAAAAUUUACCUCUAAGUCUACAUAUUGAAUGCAGAGUGGUUGUUGAUUCAAGUCUAGUUCAGCUAACUCUCUAAGAGUUCUUUCUUCAGGUGCAGGUCUAUCUAGGGGUGGGCAAAAUCGGGUUCGGGUCGGGUUCGGGUCAACCCGAUCGGGUUUCGGGUUGUUCGGGUUAGACAAGAACCAAUCCGAACAUAACCCGAAUUAUUGACCCGACCCGAACCGGGUUGGAUUUAAAACGAGUUGGAUUGAGUUCGGGUCUGUUCGGGUCAGGUCGGGUCAAUUCGAGUCAGUUCGGGUCGGUUGAAAUCGGGUCAAUUCGGGUCAAUUCGGGUCAAAUUCGGUUAAUACAAUUUUGAGCUCUUUUUUUUUCCUAUUAUUGUAGUUUUUAUGAAAGUUUUAAGACAUUUUUCUUAAUUGUAGUCAUUUUUACUAAUUUUCAACUAAAAAAAGAAAAGAAAAUGUUAUUAUUAAUUCAAAAAUCAAAACACAUAAAUAUUAUUAACAUAAUCCAUAAACAAAAAUUAGUAAUUUCAAUUCAAGUUGUUCAUGCUCCAUAAACAAAAAGUAAGAAAUUCAUGAUACUUAAUUUUAAUAUAAUAUAUAAUAUCCAAUUACCCAUUCCCCAUAAUAAAUAAUAUGAUAUUAUUUGUCUAUCUAUAUCUUAUUUUUUAUUAUAAAUUAAAUCCUUUAAUUUCAAGUCCAAGUUACUUGUACUUAACAACUUAACGGAUGAUUAACAUAUAAUAUAAUAUUAAUUGAAUUUAUUAAUUUGUUUAGGGUUGAAAGCUUGAAGCUACUGCACAAGUACACAUAAUUACAUAACAUAAACACAUUAUAAUUAUAAAACAUAUACAACAUAAUACUUAAUUUUAAUAUUUAAUCUACCUAAUGUGCUAAUUUAUUCAUAAAAAAAUCAAUUAUUAAUUAUUGUUAACAAUUAUUAACAAUUAUCAAUUAAUAUUAUUUCAAUUAUUAACUAUUAUUAACAAUUAUUAACAAUUAACAAUUAUCAAUUAUCAAUUAACAAAACCCACCAAUCGACAAUUCCUUUUUAUAUAUGAAAAAAAAUAAUUUCUGAUGAGCUCAAUAAUUAACAAAAUUUCCUUGAUUUUAUUACUAAUAUUUAUAAAUACAUAAUUCGUUCAUUACAACAAUCAAAUUAUAAACAAUUACUAAAUUACAUAAUAAACUAUUUAGCAUAUAUAAUUAAUUAAUUAUAUAGUGUAUAUAUACCAUGAAGCGAAACAGGAAACACUUAGGAAACGGGUCAAAAAGUUGAAGGCUUGAAGCUUGAAAGUGGAAGGUGGAAACCGGAAAGCUUCAAAAUCGGGUUCGGGUGGAGAGGAUUCGGUCUUCAAGCAGCAGAUCGGUGGCCACGGCUCACGGCUGGACGGACGGGAUUUCACUUGGCAGCAGAUCGCGGCUUCACUUGGGAGUUGGUAGCAGCAGAUCUCGGAGAUGCGGACGGCUCACGACUCACGGCUGGAUGGGUUUGACUUGGCAACAGCUGGUCGCGACUUCACUUGGCAGCAACAGAUCGUGAUUUCAGCAGUUGGCAGCAACAGAUCGCGUCUUAUGGUGGCUGGUUGCAGACUUGCGGGUUGCGGGUUGCGGCUGCCUUGUUCAGUUGUUUCAUUGUUUGUGUUUGUGUUUGUGAUCUGUGAAGUUGUGGCUGACAGGCAGCGUGUGUGUGUGUUAGGUUUGCGUCUUUGCGAGUGAAUUGUUGAGUGCAGCGUGUGUGUGUGUGUGUGCUGUGCACUUGCAGCGUGUGUGUCACAGUGUCAGUGUGUGUGCUGUGCAGCUUGUGACUUGUGUGUGUUGUGCAGUGUGCAGCUUGUGGCUUCUAUAGUUCUAUGUGUGCAGCAGCGUAUGUGACUAUGUGUGUGUGGCUCAGUGGCUGGCAGCUUGUGACUUCUGUUCUAGUGUUCUUUGUGUGUGCUGUGCAGCAGCAUGACAAAUUCAAAUUUGUUUCCCGUGACAAAUUUCUUUCUUUGUUUCUUUCACAUCCUCUCUCGGUCUCUCCCCUUUUUGUUUUUUUUUUCUUUUCCUCCAAAAAGAAAUUGUUCUGUUCUUAAACAAUUUGUCAAAUGCUCGAAAUUUAUCAAUUGCUUGGCGUUGGGUAGAAGAUAAGAUCUCUUUUGAAUGAUUAAAUUGGACAAAAACAGAAAAGGGUGAGGAUUGCUUCAGUCAUCAUUGCACUUGCAAAAUGCCAUCUAAGGCAACUUUAUUUUCUUUAUUAAAAUUUAAAAUGUCUCUGAGAAGAAUUUUGACAGAAUGGCUGCCAACUUUUUGGAUUGGUUAUUGGUGUGAUUCGAUUGCUGUUGGAGAAUGGAGAGGGAAAUAUGCUCAAUAAGGAGUACAGACACAUGCCAGAAAUCAAUUUUUUUUUUUUUUGGGAACCCGAUCGGGUAUUCGGAUCGGGUCGGGUUUGACCCGAACCGAUCACAACCCGAUCGGGUUUGUAAGUUUCAAUCCGAUCGGGUUUCAAUCCCGACCCGAUCCGACCCGAACCCGAAAUUUAUCGGGUCGGGUCGGGUCGGGUUGGGUCGGAUCGGGUAAAAUGCCCACCCCUAGGUCUAUCCAUCACUUGUUCUUCUGAAUCGCUAGAUGGUUCAACUAAAUCAGGUACUGUAUCUGUUUCAGAAAGCAAAGGCGACGAGGAUCGUUGCUUAGCUCGCUUCGUUUGCUGUCUCAGCUGGCGAGCUGUCUUCUCAAUUUCAGGAUCAAACGAAAGUGUACCUGUACGAGAAGAACGAACCAUACACCAAGUAAAACGUAAAAGGAUUAAAUAAAUGACACCAAUCCCCGGCAACGGCGCCAAAAUUUGAUGGGUGUCGAAGCCAACAAAAAUAAAUUCCUACUCUAAAUAAAUUAUGUAUAGUAAUUGAGCAGGGUCGUGUCCACAGAGAUCGGUAAUUAUUUAAAUCCUUUUAAAAUGUAAAACAUAAAAUGGGGGUUUUGUUGACAAUAAUAAAAAUCAAAUUAAGAUAACAAGAAUGCAAAUUAAAGUUGUAAUUCAAAUUGGAGAAAGCUCUGGUUGAAGGAAUUAACUCAGCUUGAUUCGACUACUGAUCAUUGAUUCAAAUAUAGAUUAUUAUUACUUAUGAAUAGACCGGUUAUAGCUAUUGAGACCCUCUAAUAGCCAAUCUCUCCUUAACUAGUCGAUAACCAAGGUACGACCGUUGGAUAUUUCCCUAAUCAAUAGACAACCCUAGAUACGAUCAUAUGAUUUAAUCAAUUGACAGCCUGAAAAACUAGAGAGACCCAAAUCCUAAUCAACACAUAUGAUGAUUCAUUUAAAUUAGAUUGUUUAUUCUCACAACACAACUCUCUGCUAUGUUAUUUGUCACAAACAUUAAAUUCUUCAUACGAUGAAUCCUUUAAUUGACAAUAGAUUAAGUUGAUAAUUAAAUAGUGGCCAAUUACCUAAUUAACAAACAUAAUCACGAAACUAAUUCAGAGAAUAAACAAAUACCCAAAAAGUAAUAAAACAAUUAAAGCAUAAGAAAGAUCUCACAGUAGUGAUGAAUCAAAGCUUCAUUAACCUUCAACCAGAAAAAUAGGUUUAGUUCUUCAUAGAGAGAAGAGAAAAAUUAAGAUCUAGGGUUUCUUUCUUUUUCUCCAAUCCAAAUCCCCCUUUUUCACAAUAGAUUCCUCCCUUAAAUACUCUCUCUCUUCUCUUUUAGAAUUCUAUUUAAAAUAAAAUACUAAUAUCUGAAAUAUUAAAUUCGUAAUUACAAAAAUAACCAAAAAUACAAAACACGUUAAACUAAAAACUGCAGGUCCGCAGUUGACAGCACGCGCCCACGCCUUAUCAACAAAGUUCUUCUGACGCUCAUAAUUUCUCCAAGAGAACAAUCCUCCUUAAACAUCAUCUUUUAGCUCAAUUUUAUCACCAAUCAAUAGAAUUGCACCUACAAAAGUAAAACACAAGUAAAACAUUAUUAUUAAGUGCAAAACAUCGAUAUUAAGGGAAGUAAAUAAUGCAAAACUAGUGCAUAAAUUGCACUCUAACAGACGUUGUGUUUUCUCAUCUAUUGUGUCCGGUGUCACGAAGUAAAGGGAUUUUUUUUUUUCUUUUGAAGUAGAUAUUUCGUUAUUGACAAUAUUUUGAUGAUAUUUUAGUCUGUAUGUGAAAUGCUGUAACUUUGCUUCGUCAGAUGUGGAUCUUGUGGUUCAUGCAGCAGGACCUUUUCAACAGGCACCGAAAUGCACUGUAUUGGAAGCUGCCAUAGAGACCAAGGUGAGGAAAGGUAAAUGUUGUGUUUGAAUAUCUCUUUUCCAAGUCCAGUUUUCUAUGUUUUGUAUAUGUGAUAAUUGAAGCAUGUAUACAACUUUACUAUGUACCCCAGAUGUAAUCUUAUGUGUUCUUUUUUGUGUCUCCUAACAGACAGUAUACAUUGAUGUUUUUGACGAUACCAUCUACUCCCAGCGUGCAAAAUCCUUCAAGGACAGAGCAAUAGCUGCAAACAUUCCAGCCAUAAUCUCUGGAGGAAUCUAUCCAGGAGUGAGCAAUGGUGCUUUUAUGAACAUGGACAUUCUUGUCCUGCUAUCCGCACUUCUAGCACUGUAAAUGAUACGAUUAAGUGAAGAAUACGGAUAGAGUACUAAUUCUUUAAUUGAAACAUGUGCAGACUACCAAUUCUUGCUUUAGAGCUAAAACUUAAUUGUUGGUAAACUCAUAGGCCUGGCUCCAAAGUUCUUAUAUAUGGGUGCACAUAUUGGUUUGACAGAUAGUUUUAGUGACUUUAUAUCAUUAACUUGAGUAUUGCAACUAAGAUAAAAGCUCAAAGUUUUCUUUGACAAAGUCUUUAAAAUCUUGAGCUACUUGCACGACAUAAUGAUUCUUUCAGAUCUCCAAGGGCAUAUCUUGCCUGAAUAGCCAUUUUGCUUCUGCUGAAAUAAGUAUCAAUAUUAAACACUUUAGAUGACACUUAAUUAGGUAGGGCUCCUAAACUUUGAGAUGGUUUCUAUUUUCAUGCUUACAUUCCAACUAAGCUGAAUUAUCUGAUGCCCGGUCCCUGCUCUUUGGAACUGUUUAUUUAAUUUUGGAUGUUGGGAUUUUCCGAAAUUGUACAAUUUCAGGACUCAAAAUCGCAUUUGAAGUUAUUUCAAAUUCCAGCACUUUGGGAAACUUCUAAGAUUUGUACUUUACUGCUUUUAUUUUCAUAACCAAUUCUUAUUUUCUUAACACAUUUUGGAGAACAUACAACUGAAAUCAUUUUUACCUAAUAACCUAGCAAAAAGCUACUACAUCUCUCAAUGUUGACCUCUGGGCUAAUCAAGCAUUUAACUUUCCUAAUACAAUUUAUCACAAAACGAUUAUCCCUUUUCAUAUUAUCCCUUCCCAUGAGUUUCACGGGUGUUGAAAAAGUAAAAAGUACUAGUUUGAAAUUUUACAAACUGCUGGAAAAUGGAAGGUCUAACAUCUUUCUUAACAAUCUGAAAUAGACUUCGUGCAUGCUGUAAAUUUAAAUGAAUCAUAAUUAAUUUAAGAUUAUUCCUCCUCAUCUUUCUUAACAAGUAGAUUACACAUAUUAUCAAGAAUUAAAUGGAAGGCCGAACAACUUUCUCACUCAAAAGUCUUAAUUCACUCAAAAGUCUCAACAUUUCUCACAACAACCUGACAGGUGGUAUUCCAUCGUCGCUAAGAAAUCUGACAGAGCUUGAAUCUCUAGACCUCUCUUCAAACAAGCUUGCUGGACGUAUCCCAACACAACUGGCUAGUCUCAAUUAUCUUUCGGUGUUGAAUCUUUCGAACAACCAGCUCGAGGGACCCAUACCAGGAGGACCCCAGUUUAAUACAUUUCGAAAUGAUUCCUAUUCUGGUAACUCGGGACUGUGUGGAUUCCCAUUAUCAAAAAGCUGCAGCAUUGAUGAGGCACCAGAACCACCAACACCAACAGGAUUUAUCGAAGGAGACGAUGCUUCAAGCUGGUUUGAUUGGAAGCUCGCUAAGUGGGUUAUGCAUCUGGAGUGCUGAUCGGCUUGUCCAUCGGAUACAUGGCAUUUGUGACUGGAAGGCCACAAUGGUUUGUAAGAAUGAUCGAAAGGAAGCAAUCCAGGAAGCUGAGAAGGGUGAUCAGACGAGGCGGAGCAGGUAGAAGAAGUUUGUAGGUGCAUCUCCAAAGGCCCAGUUGAGUAAUUAUUAGUUUGUCUUUUGGAAUUAUAAGCUGGUUUCUACUGUUCUUUGAGUAGAUAGCAUGCUGAUAUUAUCGUAAUCUAACAGUUGACUCACAAAAACCACCAUCCUAAUUUAUUUCAGAUUAUGUUUAUUAUCAACAUCUAUAGCGAGAAACAACAUGAGCAUAAUGUGUAAGAAAGAAAAUUUUAACUGAAUUAUUGAUGUGGUUGUUUUCUUCAGGAAUUAUAAACUCCUGGAAGCAAGCAAUGGAAGUCAAAUAAUCCUCCAUUAAGUGUGUGCAUUGCUCUUCCUGGGGAAAAUGUAUUAAAUGAUAUCCCACACAUCUGCCAAUGGGCUUGUACAGGGUUUACAUCCGAUGGUUGAAAUUGAGAUCUUUUAUUAAAAGUCAAACAAUUUCUUUUUUCCUCACAUUCUCUUCUUUCGUCUGGUUCGAAAAUUUUGUUUCCAGACACAGAAAACCAAAACAUUAAUUUAUUAAAAGUCAUAAAAUAAUUAAUUGAAUAAAGAGAGAGUUUUUGAAAGGCUUCUUGUCUUCCCUAAGAACUCCUCCACUAUUCUCUCCCAACCAGCCUAAAAUUCUACAAUACAUUCGUCCAAUGGUGAUUAACACCCACAAAUAGAGCUCAAGAUGGCUAGAGAAAGAAUAAUGUAGUAGUUAUUGCCUGCAAUGAUUUCAAAGACUCUUAAGAUUUCCUCUGCUUUUACUCAAUUUCCGAGCUUGACACUCCUUAACCUCUCUUUCAAUUCCCAAGUUGGAUCAACUAAUUAGUCAGUUGGCCCAACUAUUUCCGAGUUUUCAGAAAGGAAGACUUCAAUUGUCCCCAAGGGUCGAAAAGUAAAUAUCUAAAUGGUUAUUAAUUGGAUACAGCUUCAGCUUUUGGACUGGUUUGUGGAAAUUGAAAAAAUUUGAAAAGUGUUCCUCUUGAAGAAUCAAAGUCUACUUUAUACGUAAAGAAAGGGGAUCCCAGUAAAGAUAAUCCAUCAAUGUUCAGUUACAUUCGAGCGUGUUGACUACCUUCACGAUGAAAGACUUCUAUUGUCCCAAGGAGUUUAAUCGAGUGAUUUUUUAAGUAUUCCACUGACCAACAUGAGAUUCCAAAGCAAGACUUGGAAUAAGUAUCGAGGGGUCCACACGCAUUUCCGCGAGACCUCGCUGAGUUUUGCGAGGUCCAUACAUACUGAAUAGCUUACCUCAGAAUCUUCACCUGCUGACGCGAGAAUGUUUAGAACCUUUGAGGAUGCAAGGCCAGUUACACUCCCCUUAUGAACAAAUUCAGUGGCAGCCUUCCUCAAACAUUUGCAAAAAGUUGUGUCUUGACAAGUCUUAACCUCAAUGGCAAUUGGUUGGAAGGGCCGAUGCCUCCAUCUUUGGUUAACUAUUGGCAUUAUAAGCUGGUUUAUGUAUUGUUCAUGGAGUAGAUAACCAGCUGAUAUGUUUCAUAUUCUAACAGUUGAUAUACAAAAAUCCCAAUCCUGAUUAAAUUCAAAUUAUGUUUAUAAUCAGCAUCUAUAGUCUAUAGAGAGAGAGAAAAUGAGGGCCACAUUUUAAAAAUAAUUUUGACGUAGGAAAUUAUUUGGGGUGAAAUUCAUUUGGUGCCAUUUAGGCCACUUUUUUUCAAUUGGGCGUAUGUUAUAUACUUUUUCAAAGCUGGUAACAAGAUGAACAAUGUUGCCCAUUUGCCUUUGACUCUGAUGUCCGGGGGCUUUUACGAAAUUGUACAAUUUCAGGACUCAAAAUCGCAUUUGAAGUUAUUUCAAAUUCCAGCACUUCGGGAAAUUUCUAAGAUUUGUACUUUACUACUUUUAUUUUCAUAACCAAUUCUUAUUUUCUUAACACAUUUUGGAGAACAUACAACUGAAAUCAUUUUUACCUAAUAACCUAGCAAAAAGCUACUACAUCUCACAAUGUUGACCUCUGGGCUAAUCAAGCAUUUGACUUUCCUAAUACAAUUUAUCACAAAACGAUUAUCCCUUUUCAUAUUUUAAGUUCAGUAAUAAGAAUGAGGGGGCACCUUCCAAAUGUAUGCACCUUUUUUAGUUUUAUCCCACAAAACUUUAUCACAAAACAAUGGCCUUUUCAUAUUUUCAGUUAUUGCUCAAUCCCUUCACAAAAAAUUAUGCACAUUUACAAGGGAUAGAAGAUUUUGGUUUGGCUUUGAUUUUGAUAUGACUAUAAAUACUAUUGAAAUUACAAACUUUAGAGGCUCACGAAAUAAAUAUUGUAAAUUUAAGGGGGCUAAAUCAUAAGCUUUACAAAUAAGUGGAUUCAAUUUUAGUUUGUACCUUUAUCAGCGAAUCCAAUUUUCCAAUUUUCAAACCAAAAUGUAGUUUUAAUUUUUUGAUUAAAUUUCUUUUGAAAAUGCUCAACUAAAUACUUUUUAUGGUUAGAUGUUAGUUUGAAUGAACACGUUCAUAGAUGAUUGUGUAAGCAAUUUAUUUGGUUAAUUAACGGUUGUACUCUUUAAAAAUGCGAAUUACUAAUUUUAAAAAAUUUCAGUGGUUAGUGUAUUAAAAGUGUGUUUGGAGCAUAGCAAUGCAUGUUAUUGUAAUACUAUUCACAUUAAUUUAUUACUAAACCAUGAUUGGUAAUUUAGAAGCUACAUUGUGGUGCAUAUGCACCAUAAUGCGCCAACUUUUGCCUCAAUUGAGGCAUUAAAUAUAUUUUAAUUAUAAUAAAUUAAAUAUAAAAUAAGUUAUAUUAUAAUAUUUUUAUUCAAUAGCACAAUAUCACAUUAUAUUUAUACAUUAGUAAUUAAUAUAAAAUAAUAAUUUAAUAAUUAAUUUUAUAUAAUUAACAAUAAAAUAAUAAUAAAUUUAAAUAAUAUUAAUACAAAAUUAAUAAAGUACAAUCCAACACAAAAUAUUAUACGAUAUUAUUAUAAUGCAAUGCUUAUUCAAUACUGCAUAAAGUGAUGACAUAAUACGGUGUAAGUAAAGAGUAAUGGAUUUUAGUUGGCAAUAACGUAUGCCCAUUACUAUAAAGCAAUGGCCCAACACUUGGCAUGUCAAAAACAAAAACUGUCCACGUCCUCGGACACACACUGGCGCCACGUCAUCACUCACUGUAAACUGAAAAGAAAAUUUUUUAUAAGAAAACAGUUGAAUAAUCGAAUUUCGAGUCUUUGGCGGACGUUAUUCUUUUAUGCUAAAUAUAUCUUUGAGUUAAACAGUUAUUAAAACAUUGGGGCUAGUUUUUCAUUUAACUACAAAAUUACUUUUUUUGAAACCCAUAAAACCAUUUUUAAGUGGUAAAUUAGUUCUAUCACGUCUUCAACUAUUACCAAAUUCUUAUUCGAGUUCACCAUUUUAGUAGUAAAUGCAUUAUCUAAAUAAUUUCAAAUGAUGUAUUAAAUAAAUAUUUUGAGGAACAAGGCUCAUCAUGUCUCCUCUCAUUAGUUGUAUUUUUAAUUUCUUUUUAAAAAAUUCUCACAUAAUCAAUUAAAAAAAAUUAAGCCACAAAAAAAAACAAAGUAUUUAGCUUCGCAGCUGAAUGGGGCUAAAUUGUGUAUUAUUUGGCUGGUGAAACUCUUACCACAUCGGCUAAUAUGCUACUUUUGGAUCCCUUAUUUUAACUUUUAUCAUGACAUGGCAGUGGUGGUAACAGAGCUUGCUCAUAUUGGUAGAAGUGAAAUGAUUGCAAGUAAUCUCCCACUAUGACUGGCAUUUUUAUCUUAUUUAAGUUUCGGUGAAGCCCAUCCACAUAAAAUAAUUGGCAGGAAGUGUUAAGGAGAAAAGAUAGUCCUAAUUCAAUGCAUGGGGAUGCUGCUAUCACUUUUUAUUACUAAAUAUUUUUAAAUUGGAAUAAUGUAUUAACGGAAUAAAAAUUUUCAUAAUCUAACAAUUGAUUUACAACAACCCGAGUCCUCAUUAAAUUCAAAUAAUAAUUAUAAUCAACAUCUAUAGGAAAAUGGAAAACGAGAAUCAUAUGUAAAAAGAAAUCAUUUCGUAUGCCCAUUACCGUAUUAUAUUUGUACAUUAGAAAUUAAUAUAAAAUAAUAAUUUAAUAAUUAAUUUAAUAUAAUUAAUAAUAAAGCAGUAAUAAAUUUAAAAAAUAUUAAUACAAAAUUAAUAAAGUAUAAUCUAACAUUAAAUACUAUACAAUAUUAUUACAAUAAAAUACUAAUUCAAUACCACAUAAAGUAAUAUACGUGCAUUAUUUGGAACUGGCAUAAAGUAAAAUUAAUAAAGUAUAAUCUAACAUUAAAUACUAUACAAUAUUAUUACAAUAAAAUACUAAUUCAAUACCACAUAAAGUAAUAUACUUGCAUUAUUUGGAACUGGCAUAAAGUAAAAUUAAUAAAGUAUAAUCUAACACUGUUACAGAUAUUAAUACUAUAUCAACACACAUGGAAAAACUGGAAUAGAUUUUUAUUUGGAACUGGCAAUCUAACUUCCCACUUUUUUGACAAACUUAUGUAGACAAACUAAUAAAAGAGGUAUCAGGAGGAUGGGUGUUUAAUCUUCGAAGUCCUGCCCCAACAACCUUCAACAGUUUAUGCCUGUCCUAGUUGAAGCUAAAUACAAUAGUAAAGAAUCAAUAAGAGAGAUGAAAAUAUUUAUAAUAGUGAAGGAAAGCCUAAACCAAGAAUUGAAGUAAAAUAAUAAUAAUUUAAGUGAUAAAGUCGGUGCUCGUACUCCUGUUAAUUCUAGAUAAAUCUGAUUAGUUUGACGACUUUUACCAGUUCAAAUGCUCUUCUGAUUGCUAAAUAGAAAGUUGGACGCAUUCUUGAAUUGAAUUUAUAUCAUCGUCUGACCUCUUCAAAACCUACUAUGAAAGUGAUACAAAUCAUUAAAAAAUAAAGGCAUGACCUGGACGCUGAUCAUUCUUCAUUCAUAUUCAAAGAUUCAAUCGGCCCUGAUAUUACAUGAAUAUUAAAAUCGACUGACAUGGUAUGGUAAUGGAAUGAGCGUAUGCAUAUGCAUGCUUAUUGCUGAAUAGAAAGGUGUGAGAUUAAAACCACAUGUCGAUGCAAUCAACAUGGAAUACAUGGAAUUUGAAGACAACAGUUUAUGCAUAUGCAUGCUUAUUGCUGAUAUUACAUGUUUAGCUGCCGAACAACUUUUUUAACAAACUGAAACAGAAUUAAAGCCGAGGAUGGAAAAUCAAUUGUGUUUUGUGCAUAAUGUAUAUGACUGACUGACUAACUACGAGUUUAGCUGCCUGCCACAUUAGCAUAAUAUAACACAUAACUAAUAUCAUUCCGCGUCGAGCAUGUCGUCAAGAUCCCCCUCUUGAAAGGAUUCCACUUACCACCUAAAUUCCAAAGCUAGAAGACUUGGUGCUGUAAGUCAAUAAAUAUUCUAUUAUUAAUUAAUUACACACCAUAUUCAACUUCUAUAAAUAGUCAUUAUAUCUCUCUCUCUUCUUGUGAUUUCAUCAUCCAGAAAAGAAAAAGAAAAAGAAAAUGGGUUAUAUCACUCAGCCUUAUCAACUUUUUAUUUGCCUCCAGUUAUUGCUCUUCUAUUCUCAGUAUUCAGCAAUACUUUGCUCUCACGACCAAAGUUCUGCUUUACUCCAAUUUAAGCAGCUCUUUUCCUUUCAAAAACAUUCUUCGCACCGUUGUGAAAUAUCUCGUCCAAAGAUGAUGUCUUGGAAAGAGGGCGCUAAUUGCUGCUCCUGGGAUGGAGUAACAUGUGAUUCGGUGACGGGUCACGUGAUUGGCCUCGACCUCAGUUGCAGUUGGCUUCACGGCAACAUCCCUUCCAACACUAGCCUUUUCUUUCUUUCUCGCCUGCAAAAGCUCAACCUGGCUUACAAUGAUUUCAAUUACUCUAAGA